GCUGAUAUGGCUCAGUUGGUAGGGCGCACGCUUGUUAAGGAUGAGGUCCCCAGUUCGACUCUGGGUAUCAGCACCA
rnacentral:tRNA from 1 species